rnacentral:rRNA from 1 species
GGGGGGAAAUGCGGUGCUACACAUGCAGUCGAACGCUCUCGUUCCUUCGGGAACAAUGAGAGAGUGGCGAACGGGUGACUUUUAAGUGAGAAACCUGCCCUGGAGACCGGGACAACCCGGGCCAUCUCGGGCUAAUACCGGAUAUCUCCACCGGACCGCAUGGUCUGGUGAAGAAAUGCUCCGGCGCUCUGGGAGGGUCUCGCGGCCUAUCAGCUAGUUGGUGAGGUAACGGCUCACCAAGGCAUCGACGGGUAGCUGGUCUGAGAGGACGAUCAGCCACACUGGGACUGAGACACGGCCCAGACUCCUACGGGAGGCAGCAGUGGGGAAUCUUGUGCAAUGGGCGAAAGCCUGACGCAGCAACGCCGCGUGGGGGAUGAAGGCCCUCGGGUCGUAAACCCCUUUCAGCAGGGACGAAAAUGACGGUACCUGCAGAAGAAGGACCGGCCAACUACGUGCCAGCAGCCGCGGUAACACGUAGGGUCCAAGCGUUGUCCGGAUUCAUUGGGCGUAAAGAGCUCGUAGGCGGUUUUGUAAGUCGGGUGUGAAAACUCAGGGCUCAACCCUGAGACGCCACCCGAUACUGCAAUGACUCGAGUCCGGUAGGGGAGCAUGGAAUUCCUGGUGUAGCGGUGAAAUGCGCAGAUAUCAGGAGGAACACCAGUAGCGAAGGCGGUGCUCUGGGCCGGUACUGACGCUGAGGAGCGAAAGCGUGGGGAGCGAACAGGAUUAGAUACCCUGGUAGUCCACGCCGUAAACGUUGGGCACUAGGUGUGGGAUUCAAUCACGGAUUCCGUGCCGUAGCUAACGCAUUAAGUGCCCCGCCUGGGGAAUACGGCCGCAGGGCUAAAACUCAAAU